AUGUUCUGCCUUUGAGAGGUGGACCUCCCCCAAAGUUUUCUCAGAGGACACAAUUGGUUACAGAGAAUUACCAAGUAGUCUGAACGAUGUCUUCCGUUCCUUAUACCUCCUCAAUUUUGUGAUUAUUGAUUUUGACUUGGAAUUAACCUGGUCGUUUUUGUUAUCACAAUAAUAGUUUUUUGGUUACUUCUACAUUACUUCGGUUGUAUUUACGUAGGUGGGAUAUCUCUUCUGGUAUCUUAUACCGAAAAGUUCAUUCAGUUUGUCAAAGGGGAAAAGGAAUUUAUCUCAUGUUUUGAAUUUUUGACACUAGUAUUUCAAU
rnacentral:misc_RNA from 1 species